GGUCCUGUGGUGUAAUGGCCAAGCACAUCUAGACUACCAGUCUGAAGGACUACGUUCGAAUCGUAGCGAGACCA
rnacentral:tRNA from 1 species